rnacentral:rRNA from 1 species
GAUGAACGCUGGCGGCGUGCUUAAUACAUGCAAGUCGAGCGAACAGAUCAGGAUCUUGCUCCUCUUACGUUAGCGGCGGACGGGUGAGUAACACGUGGAUAACCUUCAUAUAAGACUGGGAUAAGUUCGGGAAACCGGAGCUAAUACCGGAUAAUCUAUUGAACCGCAGGGUUUAGUAAUGAAAUACGGUUUUGGUGUGACUUAUAGACGGAUCCGCGCCGUAUUAGGUAGUUGGUAAGGUAACGGCCUACCAAGGCAACGAUGGGUAGACGACCUGAGCGGGUGAUAGGCCACCCGAGAGUGGAACCACGGUCCAGACUACUGAGAGAGGCAGCAGAAGGGAACCGUCCGCAAUGGUCGGAAGCCUGACGGAGCGACGCCGAGCGAGUGAUGAAGAUCUUCGGAUCGUAAAACCCUGUUAUUAGGGAAGAACAAAUGUGUAAGUAACUAUGCACGUAUUGACGGUACCUACACAGAAAGCAACGGCUAACUACGUG